GGCUUUAAUAACUCCAAAGACAUGUUGCUGCACCUCUUUUUGCUUCUAUCUCACAUUAUAGGACUAACAGCUGGAGACUCAAUCACUCCUCAACAAACUGAAGUCACUGAAACAGAAGGAAAAUCUGUCACACUCACAUGUAACUAUCAGACAGAUAGUGGUUACCCACUCCUAUACUGGUACAGACAUCAUUCUUAUCUCCAGGUUCCUCGGUUUAUACUCUACAAAGGAGGAAAAUUAGAGACAGCUCAAUAUAUUCCUGAUGAUCGAUAUGGAUCCCAAACAUCACCUACAUCAACUAAUCUGACCA